rnacentral:rRNA from 1 species
AGAGUUUGAUUCUGGCUCAGGAUGAACGCUGGCGGCGUGCCUAACACAUGCAAGUCGAGCGAUUCUCUUCGGAGAAGAGCGGCGGACGGGUGAGUAACGCGUGGGUAACCUGCCUCAUACACAUGGAUAACAUACCGAAAGGUAUGCUAAUACAGGAUAAUAUAAGAGAUUCACAUGGAUUUCUUAUCAAAGCUCCGGCGGUAUGAGAUGGACCCGCGUCUGAUUAGCUAGUUGGUAAGGUAACGGCUUACCAAGGCGACGAUCAGUAGCCGACCUGAGAGGGUGAUCGGCCACAUUGGAACUGAGACACGGUCCAAACUCCUACGGGAGGCAGCAGUGGGGAAUAUUGCACAAUGGGCGAAAGCCUGAUGCAGCAACGCCGCGUGAGUGAUGAAGGCCUUCGGGUCGUAAAACUCUGUCCUCAAGGAAGAUAAUGACGGUACUUGAGGAGGAAGCCCCGGCUAACUACGUGCCAGCCGCCGC